GUCAUAGGCACAAGCAGCCUCCUCAGCCGUGUCAAAAGUGCCAAGCCAACGUCUUUCUUUGGACUGAGGGUCCCUAAUCUCUGCUGCAUAGCGACCCCAAGGUCUCCGACGAACCCCACGGUACCUCAUGGUCCCACCUGAGCCACCACCACUUUCUUUCAGUGACCUCUUGUUCGUGGUGGUGGUGGAGGAGGCAGAGGCAGCUGCUGCAGCUCCAUUAGUGCUCUUUUUGUGGUUGUCGGUG
rnacentral:misc_RNA from 1 species